rnacentral:rRNA from 1 species
AAAAGUAUGUAAGAGCGAACGGCGGAUGCCUAGGCUCUCGGAGGCGAAGAAGGACGUGAUAAGCUGCGAUAAGCUUGGGGUAGGUGCAAAUAACCGUUUUAUCCCAAGAUUUCCGAAUGGGGCAACCCGAUGCGUUGAAGGCGCAUCACCAUUUAUAUGGAGCGAACGUGGGGAACUGAAACAUCUAAGUACCCAUAGGAGAAGAAAACAAAAGUGAUUCCGCAAGUAGUGGCGAGCGAACGCGGAUUAGCCCAAACCAGUGUUGUUCAGGCAAUGCUGGGGUUGUAGGACUACGAUAUAGACUUCAAUCGGAUAGUGGAAUGUUCUGGAAAGAGCAAUCAUAGAAGGUGAUAAUCCUGUACACGACAUUUGAUUGAUACUUAGUAGUAUCCUGAGUAGCGCGGGACACGAGAAAUCCUGUGUGAAUUUGCCGGGACCAUCCGGUAAGGCUAAAUACUCCCGAGAGACCGAUAGUGAACCAGUACCGUGAGGGAAAGGUGAAAAGAACCGCGAACAGCGGAGUGCAAUAGAACCUGAAACCGUUCGCUUACAAGCGGUCGGAGCCCCUUUGGGGUGACGGCGUGCCUUUUGCAUAAUGAACCUACGAGUUACUUUCUCCGGCGAGGUUAAGGUCUUCAGGACCGCAGCCGAAGCGAAAGCGAGUCUGAAUAGGGCGCUUAUAGUCGGAGGGAGUAGACGCGAAACCAAGUGAUCUACCCUUGAGCAGGUUGAAGUUGCGGUAACACGUAAUGGAGGACCGAACCAGUUGACGUUGAAAAGUCUUUGGAUGACUUGAGGGUAGGGGUGAAAGGCUAAUCAAACUUGGAGAUAGCUCGUACUCCCCGAAAUGCAUUUAGGUGCAGCGUGGUGUAAAGUCUAUAAGAGGUAGAGCGACUGAUUGGAUGCGAGGGCUUCACCGCCUAUCAAGUCCUGACAAACUCCGAAUGCUUAUAGAUGUUUCACUGCAGUGAGGGCGUGGGUGCUAAGGUCCACGCCCGAGAGGAGAAGAAUCCGGACCACCGUCUAAGGUCCCGAAAUAUAUGCUAAGUUGAACUAACGAAGUCGAACUGCAGAGACAGCUAGGAUGUUGGCUUGGAAGCAGCCAUUCAUUUAAAGAGUGCGUAACAGCUCACUAGUCGAGCGGAUUGGCAUGGAUAAUAAUCGGGCAUAAGCAUAUUACCGAAGACGUGGAAUUAUACAAGAGUAUAAUUGGUAGGGGAGCAUUCUUGUACAGCGUAGAAGGCGAGGGAUAACCCUUUCUGGAGCGGCAAGAAAAGCAAAUGUAGGUAUAAGUAACGAUAAAGGGGGCGGGAAACCCCCUCGCCGAAAGACUAAGGUUUCCUGAACAACGCUAAUCGGUUCAGGGUUAGUCGGGUCCUAAGGGUAAGCCGAACGGCGAGACCGAUGGACGAACUGGUUAAUAUUCCAGUACUUCUUAUCAGAGUGAAGUGGGGACGGAGUAGUGAAAGUCCUGCGUACUGACGGAAUAGUACGUUAAAGAGUGUAGAUAAAUUGAUUAUAGGCAAAUCCGUAGUUGAUGUCGAACUUGAUAGUACCCUGAGUGCUUGCACGAGGGGAUAUGGAUGUAAACAGACUUCCAAGAAAAGCCGCUAGCGUUAAUUUGAUAAGAACCCGUACCGUAAACCGACACAGGUAGUCGAGAAGAGUAUUCUCAGGCGCUCGAGAGAUUCACAGCUAAGGAACUAGGCAAAAUAACCCCGUAACUUCGGGAGAAGGGGUACUCCAGCGAUGGAGUCGCAGAGAAUUGGUCCAUGCAACUGUUUAACACAAACACAGGGCUAUGCAAAAUCGAAAGAUGAAGUAUAUGGCCUGACACCUGCCCGGUGCUGGAAGGUUAAGAGGAGAUGUCAUCGCAAGAGAAGCAUUGAAUUGAAGCCCCAGUAAACGGCGGCCGUAACUAUAACGUCCUAAGGUAGCGAAAUUCCUUGUCGGGUAAGUUCCGACCUGCACGAAUGGUGUAAUGAUGUGGACACUGUCUCAGCUGUGAGCUCGGUGAAAUUGUAGUAUCGGUGAAGAUGCCGAUUACCCGCAACGGGACGAAAAGACCCCGUGAACCUUUACUGCAACUUUACAUUGAAUUUGGGUAAUUGAUGUGUAGGAUAGGCCGGAGGCUACGAAGCGGGCACGCUAGUGUUCGUGGAGCCGUCCUUGAAAUACGGCCCUUUAAUUAUUUGAGUUCUAACUCCCCAUGGGAGGACACUGUAUGGUGGGUAGUUUGACUGGGGUGGUCGCCUCCAAAAGAGUAACGGAGGCUUCCAAAGGUGCGCUCAGACCGAUUGGUAACCGGUCGUAGAGUAUAAUGGUACAAGCGCGCUUGACUGAGAGACAAACAAGUCGAUCAGGUGCGAAAGCAGGGCAUAGUGAUCCGGUGGUUCCGUAUGGAAGGGCCAUCGCUCAAAGGAUAAAAGGUACUCCGGGGAUAACAGGCUGAUCGCUCCCAAGAGCUCAUAU